rnacentral:tRNA from 1 species
GGCCCGGUAGCUUAAGAGGACAAAGCUGCGGUAAAAUCCGAAACCGCGGAGUGUAUGGACCAUAUCGUGACAAGCACGCCCUGUCAUGAUCAGAAUUUACAGUGCACCGAACACUUAAACGUUAGUAGGGAAGCGUAUUUACAGCCAAUGAAAAUGCAGGUUCGAUUCCUGUCCGGGCUA